rnacentral:misc_RNA from 1 species
UCGAAUAAACUUGUACAGGCUGUUGCUGGCCCUUGAAAGGGGGUAAUGUGCACGCUUGUCAUCUUUUUCAUUUCUCCAAACUUGUGCACAUACUUGUAGACCUGGGGAGCUUCUUUUCGAAGAGUUGGGGGACUGCUGUGCAUUUUUUAUUUUUAAAAAAGUCGGCUUUCCCUUGUAUUUUUCAGGUCUAUGUCAUUUUUCACAACCUCUAUAACAUGUCUAGAAUGUUGGAUAAAUAUUAUAAACAACUUUCAGCAACGGAUCUCUUGGCUCUCGCAUCGAUGAAGAACGCAGCGAAAUGCGAUAAGUAAUGUGAAUUGCAGAAUUCAGUGAAUCAUCGAAUCUUUGAACGCAUCUUGCGCUCCUUGGUAUUCCGAGGAGCAUGCCUGUUUGAGUGUCAUUUGACUUCUCUCAACCACAUUGUUCAUGAAUGUGGCUUGGAUGUGGGUUUGCAGGCUUCUACAAAAUGAAGUUCAGCUUUCCUGAAAUGCAUUAGUGGUGUCUGAGCUGCUAAUUUGGUGUGAUAAUUUAUCUAUGCCUUUUGGUGAUGCUGAUCAGCACGGCUUAUAACUUGAAAUCUAUUUUGACAAA